rnacentral:tRNA from 2 species
GGCGCUGUAGCUCAAUUGGUUAGAGUACUGGACUGUCGAUCCAGUGGUUGCGGGUUCGAGUCCCGUCAGCGUCGCUA